GAUGAACGCUAGCGGCAGGCUUAAUACAUGCAAGUCGAGGGGCAGCAUGGUUUGUAGCAAUACAGACUGAUGGCGACCGGCGCACGGGUGCGUAACGCGUAUGCAACCUACCUACUAUUGUGGAAUAACCCGGAGAAAUUCAGACUAUACCGCAUACAAUACCUGGAUGGCAUCGUUCGGGUAUAAAAGGUUUAUCGAUAGUAGAUGGGCAUGCGUCCCAUUAGCUAGUUGGUGAGGCAACGGCUCACCAAGGCGACGAUGGGUAGGGGAUCUGAGAGGAUAAUCCCCCACAUUGGUACUGAGACACGGACCAAACUCCUACGGGAGGCAGCAGUAGGGAAUAUUGGGCAAUGGUCGAGAGACUGACCCAGCCAUGCCGCGUGCAGGAAGACGGCCUUGUGGGUUGUAAACUGCUUUUGUACCGGAGUAAAGUCAUGCUCGUGCAGCGUGAGUGAAAGUACGGUACGAAUAAGGAUCGGCUAACUCCGUGCCAGCCGCCGCGGUAAUAC
rnacentral:rRNA from 1 species